UAAUAUUCUCUGUACAUUGUAUUGGGCCAUUGGGCCAGAAUUAAAUAAAUUUACAACUCGGUUGGCUCUUGGCUUGGGCUGCUGUGUUUCUGAGUCUGUUUCAUUGUAUUGGGCUGCAGACGUGGCCCAGUAGCUCCAACACCCCCUGCAAGUUGGAGGGUGACUGAACCCCCAACUUGAGCAUGAUAGAAUGAUGCAAAAUCCCAGUAAGAGGCUUGGUAAAGAUGUCCGCAAGCUGAGAUGUAGUAGAAAUAUAUUGCAAAGUAAUAAGGCCUUUAUGAAGCUUGCCUCUGAUGAAAUGACAAUCCACCUCAAUAUGUUUGGUCCGCUCGUGAAAUACUGGAUUCUUGGCAAUGUGAAGUGCUGCUUGAUUAUCACAAAAGACAGGUUCAGGAGAGGGAACAGGAACCCCAAAAUCAGACAUUCGUGAAAGACUGGAUUCUUGGCAAUGUGAAAUGCUGCUUGAUUAUCACAAAAGACAGGUAGGGGAGAGGGAACAUGAACCCCAAAAUCAGACAGCAAUCGAAUAAGCCAGGUGAGCUCACCAACAACCUUGCUGAUGGCUCUAUAUUCAGUCUCAGCAGAAGAUAGAGAGACCACA
rnacentral:lncRNA from 1 species